UACGUAGGGUGCGAGCGUUAAUCGGAAUUACUGAGCGUAAAGCGUGCGCAGGCGGUCUGUUAAGACCGAUGUGAAAUCCCCGGGCUUAACCUGGGAACUGCAUUGGUGACUGGCAGGCUUUGAGUGUGGCAGAGGGAGGUAGAAUUCCACGUGUAGCAGUGAAAUGCGUAGAGAUGUGGAGGAAUACCGAUGGCGAAGGCAGCCUCCUGGGCCAACACUGACGCUCAUGCACGAGAGCGUGGGGAGCAAACAGG
rnacentral:rRNA from 1 species